CUACAGGUGGGGAAGGAUCUCUUUCUGGAGACCCCUCCUUUGGAGUUUUCCAUCAAGCCCAGGGCAAGGGUGCUUCAGGUAAACUAAAGUAGAACUGAUGCACAGAGAGGGUUAACACCUUCAGUAAAGUGUUUCAGCAUGAAAAAGAUAACCAACAGAACCACAAGAUCUCUUCAGAAGAACAGCAGGUGCCUGCCUUAGGUUUCACGAAGUUCCCAUCUCACAGUUGCAGCAAACACUAAGCCAAUUGACUGAAUGACUGCAUAAGAAGAAAGAAGAGAACGUCCAUGGAAGGUUGAUAUGAGGGAGAAGGGAUUCUGGCAGAAAAAAAGAAGAAAGUAAUAGGAACUUUUAAAUGUAAUUCUAAAUAAUUACAUUUAUUGUCUAUAAAAUAUUCUUUCAAAUGUUUUAAUAAAUCUGCAUAACGUAACCAAGCAAA